rnacentral:rRNA from 1 species
GGUGAGUCGGGUCCUAAGGCGAGGCCGACAGGCGUAGUCGAAUGGAUGAACGGGUGGAUAUUCCCGUACCGACCAUGGACCGGCAAAACCGAGACGGUGAGUACUAACCUCCGCCUCGUGGUGGUUCCUUCCUUCGGGUUGGUUCCGCCGCGUGGUGUUGGGAGCGUAGCCGCAGUAGGUCAGCGCAGGGGUGACACGGAAUGGGAGCCGGCCGCGGAGGUGGUUUUCCGUGGUCAAGCACGCAGCCAGUCAUGUAGGCAAAUCCGCAUGGCGCGCAUGGCGAGGUGUGAUGAUGGGAGCCGUUAUGGUUCGAUAUCCGGUUGUCCAGGCCGUCGAGAAAAGCCUCGGCGUGAGGGCCAUGGCCGCCCGUACCCCAAACCGACACUGGUGGUCAGGUAGAGAAUACCAAGGCGAUCGAGCGAAUCCUGGUCAAGGAACUCGGCAAAUCACUCCCGUGCCUUCGGUAUAAGGGAGACCCACUGGGGUGAAGGACCUUGCGUCCGGAGCUUUGGUGGGUGGCACAGACCAGGGGGUAGCGACUGUUUACCAAAAACACAGGUGCAUGCGAAGGCGAAAGCCGCUGUAUAUGCACUGACGCCUGCCCGGUGCCGGAAGGUUAAGAGGAUCCGUCAAUCCUUCGGGAUGAAGCGGUGAAUUCAAGCCCCGGUAAACGGCGGUGGUAACUAUAACCAUCCUAAGGUAGCGAAAUUCCUUGUCGGGUAAGUUCCGACCUGCACGAAUGGCGUAACGACUUCCCCACUGUCUCGACCAGGAGCUCGGCGAAAUUGCAGUACGAGUAAAGAUGCUCGUUAAGCGCAGAAGGACGAAAAGACCCCGGGACCUUUACUAUACCUUGGUAUUGGCGUUAGGCGCGGAUUGUGUAGCAUAGGCGGGAGGCUUCGAAGCGUGGGCGCCAGCUCAUGUGGAGCCGCAAGGUGAAAUACCGCUCUGUUCUCGUUUGACGUCUAACCUCGACAAGUCAUCCUUGUCAGGGACAGUGCCUGGCGGGUAGUUCAACUGGGGCGGUUGCCUCCCAAAGAGUAACGGAGGCGCUCAAAGGUCCGCUCAGCCCGGUUGGCAAUCGGGUGUCGAGUGUAAUCGCACAAGCGGGCUUGACUGCGAGGACGACGGUCCGAGCAGGGACGAAAGUCGGAGAUAGUGAUCCGGUGCCGGCGCACGGGCGCGGCAUCGCUCAACGGAUAAAAGGUACCCCGGGGAUAACAGGCUGAUCAUUCCCAAGAGUCCAUAUCGACGGGAUGGUUUGGCACCUCGAUGUCGGCUCGUCGCAUCCUGGGGCUGGAGCAGGUCCCAAGGGUUCGGCUGUUCGCCGAUUAAAGCGGCACGCGAGCUGGGUUCAGAACGUCGUGAGACAGUUUGGUCUCUAUCCUCUGCGCUCGUUGGAAUCCUGAGGAGGCCUGCCCAUAGUACGAGAGGACCUGGGUGGACGAACCUCUGGUAUGCCGGUUGUCGCGCCAGCGGCACGGCCGGUUGGCUACGUUCGGGAGGGAUAACCGCUGAAAGCAUCUAAGCGGGAAGCCUGCUCCAAGAUUAGGAUUCCAUGGAUCUUCGAGAUCCUGUAGCCCGCAUGUUGAACACGUGUUUGAUAGGCCGGAGGUGGAAGCCCCGUGAGGGGUGGAGCCGACCGGUACUAACGGGCGACGGCGACACAA